GAGGAACAUCGACCGUGUCAUUUCCGGUCAUCUACGAUCGGGGGUGUCACAAAGGUGGUAUCAGAGCAUGGUUAUACGAUGCUAGAAUGGGACUUGUUUCAAAAAACAUUCGAGUCAAAAUGAGUCGCAAGGAUAACUAGGAUAUGCUGGCUGGUUCCUUCAUUUUAGAAUAGAUAGUCAUGGGUAGUUACCUAACAGUGAUCUUUCAUAGCAGAAGCACCGAGACAAGCUUGAACGGCUAGACCUUACUUACCGAUGUUACUAUCAUCAGGCUCGAGUUUGCUACCCUCAUGGUGGGGUUCACUACCGUCCUGCUAGGAGUCAGUAACCUCAUGUCUUCCUGCCGUUCUUCUGAGUUUUAGUGGGGUAUGCUAAUACUUUAGAGAGAUUUAUGGGACAUAAUUGAUACAUCGAAUACAUCUCCGGACUCGUGUGUUAUCGAUGUCAAGGUGGGUGUUGUUUGUGAUCCGAUUCAGUACGAUUCGAAUGCACAUGAUCACUCAGAUGCACUUAUUCUUCCGGCUUCUCAAGUCUAACCAGCUCAUGCUAUGACGUACACGCACCAGAGCCAUACAAGCAUGAUUUCUUAAGCAUUUGUUUCAAGCUUAGCGUUGGAGGAAGAGAUGGUUUGACUGUAUUACAAGAUGAUGGAAGCACCAGAAGCAUUCUGUUUGCAACGAAAUAUCAUGAAGCUUAUGAUGCAAAGAAGAAGAAGUUGGGACCAUAGGAUACUGAAGAAAGACUAAACCGUUCGAGAUAUACUUUGCUUGAGGCAAUUUAGGAUGCAACACUGAUAGCAUAAUAUUGAUGUGGCCGUUGUUCAGAGAAUUACAAGAAGGAUUUGGCAGUAAGCUAUUUGAAGAUGAGUGCGAUGAGUUGUUGGUCGAGAGUCAAGAAUUACUUCAGAGAGUUGAGAUCGAGUUGGGCAGAUUUCAAGAGUUCAAGAAGUAGUAUUUUCUAAACAAGCAUCGAGAUACGUGGUCGAGUGAGGUUUGGAGAAUAAGCCAAAGAGAAUACAGAAAAUCUUUGGGAACUUAGCCAAGAAUUUUGGACUAGAUAAAAGACCAUGGAGUUUCAAAGCUUCGAGGAGAUGUUAGAGUAUGACGUGCAUGUUAAAGAAGCUAUUAUUGCUGAAGAAGUUAACCAAGUCAUGCAGACCGUCUAUUUUCCAACCGAUGCAGAUCAAAGGUCAGUUUCAAGCAGUGAGUUAAGUAAGUCGCUGGGGAUGAUUUUUGGUGUACAUUUCAUCGGAUCAAGAUCGAGGUUAUGGUUGUGACUAGCAAGGAUAGAAUGGUCGUGAUUGUCAAAGUGUGGGAAAUCCUGGAACGUUUACAUCAUUCGCGCUUUGGUGGUUCUUGUGAAGAGUUAGGAUUUUAGGUUAUCCUUCCUCAUGAGGUUACCCAGUUCCUUUACCUAUACCUAGGGUACCAAUAGUUGGACUUGUUCACGCUUCCUUACCAUUAGUCUUGAUCCAAGUGUUAAGCUAUUUGGGUAGAGCCUACAUUUUAUAGUUGUCUGGACCGUCAAAACCCCUGAAAGGUCCAAUCACAGGUUUGCCUCUUAUCCCAUUGUGUGUUGUGUGAAUUUUUUAAAAAUUUAUGAAUGAUUAAAAAAAAUGAAAAAAAAAAUGAAUUGUGAUCAAGGUGUCGUAAGAAACCUUGCCUAUGGAUGGAAUUUUCUGCCCAUAUUGUGUUUUAUUCGGGAACAACACAUAGUUGUAGUUCCCGAGCACUGUCAUAGUAUUAGAAAGGAUUCACUUUGGUGAAUUCAAGUAUCUGUUCUUAUUUGUGGAAGUAUUGGCUGCCAUUUGAAGUAAUGGUAUGCCUUCCCCAUUCUGUAGUACUUUCAUUAGAGCGGUGUGUUUCUACCUAGACUGAGAUUGGCUAUCUAGUUACCGAGCUCAAUUAGGAUAUUAAGGAAAGAAGUCUUUUGAAGAUACCAGUUAUUGUUGGCCUACAAUGGUAUUCUACCAAGUGUUCGAGUAUCACUCAAAUCAGUCUGGCGUGUUGAAGAACUUUUGGAAAAAGGUGAAGAAGUGUACUCUAGUAACUUGAUCGUUUAAAAAGUAGAAGAUGAAAAGGAGCAGAGUAGAAGACAGUCUGAUAAUCAGGGAGAUGAAGAUGUGGUUAAGGCAUUGAAGGAUGGUCGACAUCAAAAAGUAACAUGUUCAGUAUUCUUGUUGAACCUGGAUUCGCUGCAAUAGCCUAGGGAUCUCACCAAGUGGUUCUUGCCGAGUUCUAGUAGUAGUUAGAAUAUUAUUAAUAGGGUCUCAGAUAUAUCAGAAGUGUAAGGAAUACAGUAAGUAAAAUCAUUCUUGGAAUGGGUGAGUGUGUGUAUUUGAGAGUAGCACCCAUGUUCCGAAUCAUGUUGGCGUGAUUGAUCGUGCAUGUUCUUGUUUGAUUGUUGCACGGUUAAUCAAGUUAACAUUGACCAAACUGGAGAUGUUACCUUCACGUAUGGCACAUCACCUAACGUUUCAUAUUUCAUGUUGUUGUUAUGGGGGAAAGCCGGUUUGAAAAGGUUGAGAAGUGAUAGUCUACAGAGACAAGAUUGUUAGAAAAAGUAUGCAGACAGCAGUUGACAAGAGUUGUGCAUUGUAAAGAAUUUGGUUAUCUUGAAGUGGCUACUCAGAAAAGAAGAGGUCCUUUGGGGAAUUAAGAAAUUGGCAAUCUGCUCUAUUGAUCUGUAUAGAGUACUGAGUUUUUAUCAGAGUUUGAAUGGUUAUCUGUUGACAAGAACCUCUUUCAGAUUUGAAUGUAGAAAUCUAUAAGUAGAUGUUGCCUAAGUGUAUAUCAGACCCAGUAUGAUAGAUCUACUCAAACCUGAAAGCUUGCAACCUAAUCUAGCCUAUCCUAAAGUUCCUAUGUGGAUAGGUGAGCAUCGUAUCAGAAGAGUGGACAAUCAAGAAAUUUUGUAAGUUUCAGUAUUUGGGAGGGAUCGACCAUGAGUUGUUUUGAUAUGGGCAGAUUAAGAUAAGGUCAGAGCUAAUAUCCAGAACUUCUUUCAGAGAGUGUUCAGUAAAGUGUGUACAGCUAUGUUUUCAGAAUUCUGGGACGAAUUCUUUUGAGGCGGGGAAGAAUGUAAUAACCCUCACGAGCCGAUAGAAUUUUGGUCGAGAAAAUUCUUUAAGAUCAGUUUGAAGAUUGGUCGAUCAGAAUUUAAAUAAAAAUCGACCCGGUGAAUUAUUCUUGAUGAGACUGUCUCGUGGCCAAAAUACCUACUCUUAAUAGUUCUGACCAAGUGUUAAUUAUUAUGGUCGAGUUUUAUCUAAGCUGGACGAGAACCAAUGGAUGGGAAACAUUUUAUCGAAAACUGGUCUUGAAUACUUUCAGCUGCUUGCGAGUCAUGUACAUGUCAUGUGUUGCAUGGCUGUUUACUUCCUUCCUAACCUGAAUAUGUGACUUGCACCUUCCUGCUUGCUUGCUACAUUAAAUUUAUGUGAGUUGCACACCUGCUUGAGGUUUCUUCAUGGGAAGGAAAGUGUGAUUCAGCUCACCACAAGUCUCAUACUAAUCUAAAACUUUUGUCCUUUAUUGCUGACUCUUCUCCUGCUGUUUCCCUUGUCAUUUAUUACCUUGUCCUCUUCCUGGUAUAGCUCAUUUAUCUCAGAAACAAGAAAGAAAAAUUCAGAGAGAAAGAGAGAAAGAAAGAGAGAAAAAACUGUGAGGAAAAUCAAUGAAACAAAUCAGAAAAAAAAUCAGAGAAGAGAAGUGAGCUUGCACGACCUUUUCUCACACUCUUAUGAAUUUUAUCAGUGUGUUCUGGUGUGGUUAAGAGCUGAAGGUUUGGCGUCCAAGAGUUUAGAAUCACCCAAGUUCUUCAGCCGUUGAUUUUAUCGGUUAGACGUGUGUUCAGCUUGAAGCUUAUAGCAACAAAGUUCAUUUAAACCUUGAGAAAACCGUUGUCUACACCUUUGUAUGGUUCAGUUGGUCGAAGAGAUUGAAAUUACCAGCCGGAUCAUGCCUUAUCCUCAUUCUGUUUUGGGAGUUAUCAGCAAGUGAUGAGCGUUUAGCUUGAGCUCGAGUCUAGUUUUCCAUAGCCAAUCUCAUGGAUUCAAAGGUGAGUCUAGAUAGAUGGUUGAUGAGUAGUGAAUGAAUAUUUCUUGAUUGAACGUACUGAUGUAGAUGAUUGAUAGGCUUUGUCUCUUGAUCAAUAUUUAAUUGGUGAGGUGUUUACUUAGCGUAAACACUUAAUAAAUAUUUAUGAAUGAUCAUAGAGGUUUAUUCCUAACCUUAGUACUUGUUCUCAAGUACUAAUACAUAUGUAUAAUAUUAAAUAUCUAAGUAUAAAUCAUGUGAAGUCUUAUUGUAUACUCACUCUCCCGAAAGUUCCGCAUUACCGUGAAUUGUUCCUGCGAUAUGGAACAAAGUUACGAAGACACGAUGAUGGGGUCGCACCCUGGAGGCCGUGUAACUGCAUGCAGCGUUAGAUGUUUGAUCUUGGAAUAUCUAAUGGAGAUGAUGGUUAUAUUUAUUUCUCCUCUAGGUUCGGUUAGCCUUGGUGGUUUUCUGGGUUUAGUAGCCUUGGUGGUUUUCUGGGUUUAGUCUAUAUAUAAAUAUUAUAAGUAUGAGUGAAUGGCGGGUGUCGUGGAGAUGAUGUUUAAGAUAAGAUUCACAUCAAUGGAAUGAUAGGCAUUAUAUAUGUAUUUUUAUUAGUUAUGGAAUAUAUUUCCACUGCAUACAAAUGGAGUUGAUUGCUUGAGAUAUUAUUAAUAUACGUUGGGGUGGGGGACUAGGCUCACUGAGUAAACUAGUUACUCAUGACUCAUUUGUGAUGCAGGUAACCAGUAGACGGGAGACCUUACUCUAGGA